AUGGAUAUGAAAAAGAUGCCCUUUUGUUUUAGGAAGAAACGAAAGAACCCCAAUUCCACAAGGUGUUACAGAGAACACAGUGAUGGACUUGAAUAGAAUCAGGAAGGAUUGAGUUCAAUUUCAGAUUCAGACAUUGUGUGACUGGCAAUUUAUUUAAUGAAUGUUUCUAUACGCCUAAAUUUUCUGAUCCAAAAAUAAAAUAACAUUUAUCUUACA
rnacentral:lncRNA from 1 species